rnacentral:rRNA from 1 species
GAUUAGAUCUCAAAUCAG